AACUAUAUAUCCAGUUUGAAUAUACUAAACAAUAUACACCAGUGGGUAAUGAGAGAGAUUUUAGAGCUGACCGUUAAACAGCUGCAUAAUUUGCUUUUCUUAACCUUUUUAACCUACUGGACAAAACAACAACAAAAGCCAUCUCAUCCUUCAUUCUCUCAUAUUACCCCUCAAAGCUCAACCUUUUCCACCGAGGAUGCUGAGUAGCUGACAAAAUGGAAAACAAUGCAUGUCAUGGUGGAUGAUGGGAAUUCCCAUUGGCUGUAGUUUGUUUGUCUGUGCCUCUUAGCCUAUCAAAUCUAAUGAAAAAUAAUUCAGUUGAAGUCUUUAUUUCUACCGCAGUCCAAAGUGAAUACACACUCAGCUCUGUUCAUUAUCUGUCUCUAUUUUCCCCUUCAUCUCCUAGCUCUCUGUAUCUGUAAACUAUGCAUGCGUGUGAGAGUACAAAAGUGGGGUAUGUGUUGUAACGGCUAACGUAUCCUGGGUGUGUUGUUCAGAGCGCUGGACUCGUUAGCUUGGGUAAGAGUCUCCCUGGUGGAUGCAUUUGCAGGAGUUUUCAAGGCACACAGAUGGAUGUCUAACACUCCCUCUCAAUGCUAGAUUACAGUUUAAUUCAUUUUGAUCAGGCUUUUAAGACAUCUUUUUGGCAGCAUCUCAAUUAAUUAUCAUUGAGCUUCUGUCAAAGAAAACUUACAAGUGGGAGUAGUAUUACGUGCUCUGUUAAAUGCCAUUGACCACAUGAGCAGAGGUAGUUUUAAAUGCAGAUUUUUACAUGUUUUACCCUUUAAUUCGCACGCAAACAGUUUAAGGGUAAAAAUGUGUGCCAUUAUUUUCACGCAGUGGACCAUUCGGUUUUAAAACCAUGGCAGGUAGCCAAGAUAGUGCAGAUGCUAACCUCGCUAGAGGGUCUCUGCAAUUUAAUCUGUUCUUUUGUUUUCACAGACACAGUUUAUUGAUAUUUUUUUUGUUCCACAGAGGAACACGAUGCCACCGCAUUUUAUUAAGUAGUAAUGAUGCAACUGUUGCAUUGCACUGAAGCGGCCACAAAGUCUGUAUAUGGGGUUGAAGUUGGGUAGGGCAAUGAGGUGAUUUUUUAAAGAUGCACUACAGAACUUUGGCAGAUUUUUUCAGUAGCUACAUUUACAUGGACAAAUAUUUAAUCUAUCAGAUUGAAAUCAAUCCGAUCAAAGAUUACAGCUGACAUGUUUAUCCGAUCAGUUGUAUUUCCACGAUGGACAGAUUUAAUACGAUUUUAACCCUUUUGACAUGUGCAAUGCUUAUUAGUUCUAAAGAAGAAGUCUUUUCUUUUUUUAUAUUUUGAACCGUUUUACCUCAAAAUGCUUAAUACUUAUUAGGGCUUUCAGUUUCUUACAAAAACAUAUUUGCUACAGUCUCGAACGGUUUUGCUUCUGCCAUUUUUCAAGUUCUCCCUGAAACUCAUUACAUCAUGUACCCCACAUGUGCUUUAUGCAUGUGCAGAAACCACAGAAACUAUCGGAGUGUAUCCAUGCUAAUUUUUCUCUGCUGAUCUGAUCGUGAAAAGGAUUAAACCACCCAUCUCGAUUGAAUUGAAAACUCUUUCCGAUUAAGGCCUGUUGGAUUAACUGACGUGUUCACAGGACACAUUAUUAUUCUAAUUGGAUGUCGGAUUGGAUCAAAAAUGCUCCAUGUAAACCUAAGCCUGAAAAAGCUCUUUUCAGCAUCCAUCUUGCAUCCUACCUGUACUCUGAGCUCUCUCCAGCCAUUAAAAGUCAGUGUCUCGUCAUAUCUCUUGCUCUGUCCCUUUCUCUCUUACUCUUUCUCUCUUCUUACAAUAACGUCUUCUUAUGCUUAAUCAGCUACAGUGUGCAUUCAAAGCGAUCAAUGUGUUUAUAUUCGAUUGCUGAUGUGUGACGUGGUGUGUAGAGUGAAACUCAGCUGCAACAUCACACGCCGUCCCAGAAGACAAAGCUGUGAAGUGACUCAGCCUCAGGAGAAAUACAGAAAUGUACAUAAUAGAUGUCACUGAACCAUCAAACAAGUUAGCAAUGCAGAGUUUUCAAGUCAGAAAGUUACAUAAUCUGUAAUGAAAGUACUUUAAAAUGUCAUUUUAGUGGCCUGUUGAUACGUUGUUCGUGGUUUCAGUUACUUUUCUUUGACAUUACAAAUGACUUGGUUAUGGUUACACUUUACAAAAACUCUGGUUAAGAUUAGGUUUUGAAAAGUAUUUGGUUAACAUCAUGGCUUACAUUAAAACAGGCACAUUCACUGAUGACAUGUAGCUUCAGAACGUCCUCCUCCUGGAUACCUGGCUGCCAUGUCCCACCUCUUCUGUAAAAGAUGCUAAAUGUGUUGGAUGCACAACUCAGAUGUGCUACUGAAAUCUAUUAAAUAUAGUGAGACAAAAAAUACACGUUUUUGUUUUUAUCGGCAAAACCACACAGUUUUCUAACUGGUUUGACUUUUUCUAAAAGACUAGGCUUGAAUAUUUGUAUGUAGAAGACAUCACUGAUUCACCCACACAUUGAAGGACAGAUCCAUCCCUCAAGCAUGGACGGCCUAAACGCUCUUUAAGUUAAAGCCACUUUUUUUUUUUUGGUCCACAUGCAACAUAACUUAUUACUGAUUAAACUCAAGUAGCUCAGAUGGCCCGAACCAUCCAGACAUCACCAACUUCUCCCAGUAUGUUAGCCUCAUAUGCGUUUCCCUGGUAACUAAGAUUUACAGAAAGUUGGAAGAUUUCCACUGUGAGCAUUUGCUCACAGCUUGAACUCACCAUUAGAAAUCUAUGUGGAAAUUUUGUGGACAGCAACCAUGUAUGUUUGGGAAAUACGUGAUCAUCUGACUGAAAUCAGAAACUAACAGCUGACAUACAUUUAGUUUAGCAUUUGUGGUCAGACCUAAAGACGUAUUGUGAAUUUGCUGCAGAUACCCCACUGUUUUAACCGUCUGCCCAAAGUUAUGCACAAUAAUGCAUUUAUCCAUGUUUGUGAAUGUGUGUUGCAUAAGGACACAUGGUUGAGACCCCUACUGUUCCUCCCUUCCACCUCCUACACGCAAUCUGUCAAUCCUUCCUGCUAAUACUGAAACUAUCCCCUGUGCAUUCACACACACUUCUACACACUCAUCCGAAGUGAACAUGACAAAGGUAGAUUCUCAGUGGCCACAUAAGGGUUCAUUGAGGUCCUCUGGGAGGCUUAUGAUGUAACACACUGCAAGUUCUUAUCAGUCAUCCAGAACAGAGAGGCCGAAACGGCCUCCAGCUGCCACUGUCACUGUAACUAAAUUGAAUGUUUAACUGUCUUUACUCCAGUUCUCGGUAGUGUCUCUUGCUCUCUUUCUCUUCAUCUCCUUCCUUGAUAGCUAAGAUCUGAACUCUUCAGAUCUCCACAUAACUCACCACUGGGGUAUUUUCUAUGAGGCUAUUUUGUUCAAAGAAUAGCAUUGUGACAGUCAUCACCUGCUUCAUCUUCUUUUAUAACCCAAUCUUUUGCUCUUCUCUUCCCUCCCAAGAAGCCCUGCAGUCACUGUGCUCUUGUUUAUCUUCUUUCUCUCCCCCCAUUUAACGCUCUCUUUCUUUAAUUUAUUGUGACUUAAUUUCUAUGGUUGUUUCACCUCUGUCGCUGCAGAUGAAGUUUUCUUUUCUGUCUUCUUUUGUUUGUAAAAUGUAUCCUUCUUUUCUUUACUUUAUUCACUGCUAAUGUAACAAAACGCACUGUGAUGAUUCCAGUAUUAAUAAAAGUUGUACUUAAACUGUG